GAUGAACGCUGCGGCGUGCCUAAUACAUGCAAGUCGAGCGAACGGACGAGAAGCUUGCUUCUCUGAUGUUAGCGGCGGACGGGUGAGUAACACGUGGAUAACCUACCUAUAAGACUGGGAUAACUUCGGGAAACCGGAGCUAAUACCGGAUAAUAUUUUGAACCGCAUGGUUCAAAAGUGAAAGACGGUCUUGCUGUCACUUAUAGAUGGAUCCGCGCUGCAUUAGCUAGUUGGUAAGGUAACGGCUUACCAAGGCAACGAUGCAUAGCCGACCUGAGAGGGUGAUCGGCCACACUGGAACGUAGACACGGUCCAGACUCCUACGGGAGGCAGCAGUAGGGAAUCUUCCGCAAUGGGCGAAAGCCUGACGGAGCGACGCCGCGUGAGUGAUGAAGGUCUUCGGAUCGUAAAACUCUGUUAUUAGGGAAGAACAUAUGUGUAAGGAACUGUGCACAUCGUGACGGUACCUAAUCAGAAAGCCACGGCUAACUACGUG
rnacentral:rRNA from 1 species